AUUGAACGCUGGCGGCAUGCCUUACACAUGCAAGUCGAACGGCAGCGGACCUUCGGGUGCCGGCGAGUGGCGAACGGGUGAGUAAUAUAUCGGAACGUACCUUUCAGUGGGGGAUAACGUAGCGAAAGUUACGCUAAUACCGCAUAUUCUGUGAGCAGGAAAGCAGGGGAUCGCAAGACCUUGCGCUGAUUGAGCGGCCGAUAUCAGAUUAGCUAGUUGGUGAGGUAAAGGCUCACCAAGGCGACGAUCUGUAGCGGGUCUGAGAGGAUGAUCCGCCACACUGGAACUGAGACACGGUCCAGACUCCUACGGGGGGCAGCAGUGGGGAAUUUUGGACAAUGGGCGCAAGCCUGAUCCAGCCAUGCCGCGUGAGUGAAGAAGGCCUCGG
rnacentral:rRNA from 1 species